rnacentral:rRNA from 1 species
CCUACGGGAGACAGCAGUGAGGAAUAUUGGUCAAUGGCCGGAAGGCUGAACCAGCCAUGCCGCGUGAAGGCCAGGGUCCUAUGGGCGUUAAACUUCUUUUGUGCGGGAGCAAUAAUGGUCACGUGUGGCCAGACGAGAGUACCGUACGAAUAAGCAUCGGCUAACUCCGUGCCAGCAGCGGCGGUAAUACGGGGGAGGCAAGCGUUAUCCGGAUCUAUUGGGUUUAAAGGGUGCGUAGGCUGUGAGGUAAGUCAGCGGUGAAAUGCCCCCGCUCAACGGGGUGAAGUGCCAUUGAUACUGCCUUGCUGGAGUGCGGAUGCCGUGGGAGGAAUGUGUGGUGUAGCGGUGAAAUGCAUAGAUAUCACACAGAACACCGAUUGCGAAGGCAUCUCACGAAUCCGCGAUUGACGCUGAUGCACGAAAGCGUGGGUAUCAAACAGGAUUAGAUACCCUUGUAGUC